rnacentral:rRNA from 1 species
GGGUGAAAGGCCAAUCAAACCGGGAGAUAGCUGGUUCUCCCCGAAAGCUAUUUAGGUAGCGCCUCGUGAAUUCAUCUCCGGGGGUAGAGCACUGUUUCGGCAAGGGGGUCAUCCCGACUUACCAACCCGAUGCAAACUGCGAAUACCGGAGAAUGUUAUCACGGGAGACACACGGCGGGUGCUAACGUCCGUCGUGAAGAGGGAAACAACCCAGACCGCCAGCUAAGGUCCCAAAGUCAUGGUUAAGUGGGAAACGAUGUGGGAAGGCCCAGACAGCCAGGAUGUUGGCUUAGAAGCAGCCAUCAUUUAAAGAAAGCGUAAUAGCUCACUGGUCGAGUCGGCCUGCGCGGAAGAUGUAACGGGGCUAAACCAUGCACCGAAGCUGCGGCAGCGACGCUUAUGCGUUGUUGGGUAGGGGAGCGUUCUGUAAGCCUGCGAAGGUGUGCUGUGAGGCAUGCUGGAGGUAUCAGAAGUGCGAAUGCUGACAUAAGUAACGAUAAAGCGGGUGAAAAGCCCGCUCGCCGGAAGACCAAGGGUUCCUGUCCAACGUUAAUCGGGGCAGGGUGAGUCGACCCCUAAGGCGAGGCCGAAAGGCGUAGUCGAUGGGAAACAGGUUAAUAUUCCUGUACUUGGUGUUACUGCGAAGGGGGGACGGAGAAGGCUAUGUUGGCCGGGCGACGGUUGUCCCGGUUUAAGCGUGUAGGCUGGUUUUCCAGGCAAAUCCGGAAAAUCAAGGCUGAGGCGUGAUGACGAGGCACUACGGUGCUGAAGCAACAAAUGCC